rnacentral:rRNA from 1 species
UCCAGACUCCUACGGGAGGUAGCAGUGGGGAAUAUUGCACAAUGGGGGAAACCCUGAUGCAGCGACGCCGCGUGAGUGAAGAAGUAUUUCGGUAUGUAAAGCUCUAUCAGCAGGGAAGAAAAUGACGGUACCUGACUAAGAAGCCCCGGCUAACUACGUGCCAGCAGCCGCGGUAAUACGUAGGGGGCAAGCGUUAUCCGGAUUUACUGGGUGUAAAGGGAGCGUAGACGGCAUGGCAAGUCAGAUGUGAAAGCCCGGGGCUCAACCCCGGGACUGCAUUUGAAACUGUCAGGCUGGAGUGCAGGAGAGGUAAGUGGAAUUCCUAAUGUAGCGGUGAGAUGCGUAGAUAUUAGGAGGAACACCAGUGGCGAAGGCGGCUUACUGGACUGUAACUGACGUUGAGGCUCGAAAGCGUGGGGAGCAAACAGGAUUAGAUACCCCGGUACGA